CAAUAGAUUGACCAACGGAGMGAAGCAAGAAAAAUACUUCUACAGCUAAAUAAGCUUUUGCAGCGUUGCGAUUUUGUCGAGAAAAGCCAUGUCAUCUUUGCUACUGUCCCAAUYAUUAAGUUCGUUGACAGAGUCAGCAAAUGUGAAUGUGAUAUUAACAUCAAUAACCAUGUGG